AGAUGUGAGGGCGACCUGGCUGCGACAUCUGUCACCCAUUGAUCACCCAGGAUCGAUUGGCUGAUCUGGUUGGGAGGAGGGUGUCCUCUUCUUCCCUUUCCUCCCUCACCGCCCCACAUGCAUGCCUCCUUCCCAAAGCUAGUGGGAGCUUGGGCUUGCUCAAAGAGGACGACCUUCCCUGAAUAGAGGAGGACCCCUGUUUAGUCAAGGGUAUGCUCCCCUGCUGGAACCUCCAAACAAGCUCUCAAGGUCCUAAAAAAGCAAAACAAUGAAAAACUGCUACAAACAGCAUUCUUUCUUU
ensembl:misc_RNA Gm22025 predicted gene, 22025